rnacentral:lncRNA from 10 species
AUGCAUGAGAGGUGGGAAGUUGGAGCAAGGGCAUCUUGUUUGCAUGAGUGAAGACUGCAAUUGAAUGGUUAGCCACUGAACCAAUAAAUACACUCAUUCAGCACGCAGGCAAUGGUGAAGCACAGAGUAUUGUCCCUUCCAUCAUUCUUCCUGGAAAAAGCAAGCAAACAUGUUCUCUUUUUGCCCUUUCGUGAUGACCUGCCUAAGACUUGCAUACAGUUUGGAAUGGAAUGCCUGGGCUCAAAGGCUACAGCCCACAGGUCAGCAUCUGACAUUUUCAUGCACACCGUGUACAGCUCCCUGUGUGGUGGAAUGUGUCAUGUCAGAACAUGAAGAUCUGUGACAAGGCCUGGCAAUGGCUUUGACAGAGAAACUUCUCAGAAAAACUUGCCUGUCUUUUUCUAAUGAGGAAAUCCCAAAAAGAGAAGCUGAAACUUUCCUGUUGUAGAAGGGUAAUAAGUAAGCUGUGGAGAAAAUUGGACAAAUGCAGAAAUCUAUAUAAAGCAAGUGUGACUUUUUCCCGGGAGAAGAUCUUGCCAGAAAACAUGGUGGUCGUAUCAUAUCUGAUUGACUGGUGCAAAACAUGGACUAGGUUUAGUUUUCUGCACUGAACUGAAGACUGUCUUAUGCCUCCAAAAUGCACUGCAGAGUGUCUGCCAACAAUUGUUCACUAGCUGUGAAUGUUUGUUCCUUUUCAAUGCUUCAUCUAAUUCCAGGUGCCAGUGACUUUGCUACCACUCUAAAUGUGGUUAAAAAGAACAACUUUCAAAUUGAUUGUAAGUGGAAAUAAUAGGUCUUUAUAAUUUGUCUAUAAUAUAAAGGACUCUAGAUAAAACCGUUAAAUCUCUCCCAUGACUUACGUAUAAAGUGCUGCUUUCAUUUCACAAGGAAAUUAUUGAUUUCAAUUAGUUCUCUUUAUACUAGAAAUCAUCUGGUAUUAAUUUAAAAAUUUUUGAGAUGUCUGUGGAAUAAGCAAAUGAGACAACAAAAAGCUAUGUUUUAAAAAAUAAAACUUUCUGAUAUAUACAAAAUUAAUAUUCUUUUGGGGAAAAUUCAAAAUAUAGAAAAUUAUUGCUUAAGUCCCUGCAAAAUUCUAUCACCCAGAGAUAAACAUAGUUAACAUUUCUUUUUGUGAGCAUUCUCUAGAGAUAAUGCUUUUUUUCAUAUUCUUGGGCAAGUUAUUCAGUCUUUCACUGUGUAAGCAUAUUUUUCCUCUUCUAUAAAAUGGGAAUAAAAAUGAUACUUGUCACCUAGGGUUGGAGAUUUAAUGAGUUAAUAUGUAUAAAAUGUGUAACUUAGUACCUGAAAAUAGUUAAUAAAGAUUUACUGACAAGGCAUGGUGGCUCAUACCUGUAAUCCCAACCAACAUAUUGG